CGCCCUGCUACGCCUCCAGGACACGCCGGUAUAAAAGCUCCCGCCGGCCGGCAACCAGCAUCAGUCCUCCAGACCGAGCACCAGCAGCCACCAUGUUCAAGUCCCUGCUCCUCGUCUUCGCCGUCCUGGCUGUGGCCUCGGCCCAGUACAUCGCCUCCCCUUACAGCACCUACAGUGCCGGCGCCUACCCCGCCUACUCUGGUGUCAGCGCCUACUCUGCCUACCCUGCUUACUCCGGAGUCAGCUCCUACGGUGCCUACCCCUACGCCUACUCUGGCCUCGGCUACGGUUCUUCUUACCUCUACCGUUAAUUUAUCAUGUCCCGGCAGAGGAUGUCCGUCUGACCCAAGGCUACUCCACCUGGACACGGUCGCUGGGCAACAAAGACUUUCGGCACCAUUUAUGUCGCAAAAUUUUAAAUAAAUAGUUUGCAAUGUUAAAAA